UGAAAAUAAGAAAACCUGGAAGCCAUAAUGUA
rnacentral:piRNA from 1 species